rnacentral:rRNA from 1 species
AGUGAACGCUGGCGGUAGGCCUAACACAUGCAAGUCGAACGGCAGCACAGUAAGAGCUUGCUCUUACGGGUGGCGAGUGGCGGACGGGUGAGGAAUACAUCGGAAUCUACUUUUUCGUGGGGGAUAACGUAGGGAAACUUACGCUAAUACCGCAUACGACCUACGGGUGAAAUCAGGGGAUCUUCGGACCUUGCGCGAUUGAAUGAGCCGAUGUCGGAUUAGCUAGUUGGCGGGGUAAAGGCCCACCAAGGCGACGAUCCGUAGCUGGUCUGAGAGGAUGAUCAGCCACACUGGAACUGAGACACGGUCCAGACUCCUACGGGAGGCAGCAGUGGGGAAUAUUGGACAAUGGGCGCAAGCCUGAUCCAGCCAUACCGCGUGGGUGAAGAAGGCCUUCGGGUUGUAAAGCCCUUUUGUUGGGAAAGAAAAGCAGCAGGUUAAUACCCCGCUGUUCUGACGGUACCCAAGGAAUAAGCACCGGCUAACUUCGUG